rnacentral:rRNA from 1 species
CAYGCAGUCGAGCGGUAACAUUGGUAGCUUGCUACCAGAUGACGAGCGGCGGACGGGUGAGUAAUGCUUAGGAAUCUACCUAGUAGUGGGGGAUAGCUCGGGGAAACUCGAAUUAAUACCGCAUACGUCCUACGGGAGAAAGCAGGGGAUCUUUGGACCUUGCGCUAUUAGAUGAGCCUAAGUCGGAUUAGCUAGUUGGUGGGGUAAAGGCCUACCAAGGCGACGAUCUGUAGCUGGUCUGAGAGGAUGAUCAGCCACACCGGGACUGAGACACGGCCCGGACUCCUACGGGAGGCAGCAGUGGGGAAUAUUGGACAAUGGGGGGAACCCUGAUCCAGCCAUGCCGCGUGUGUGAAGAAGGCCUUUUGGUUGUAAAGCACUUUAAGCAGUGAAGAAGAAGUUAUGGUUAAUACCCAUGAUGGAUGACAUUAGCUGCAGAAUAAGCACCGGCUAACUCUGUGCCAGCAGCCGCGGUAAUACAGAGGGUGCGAGCGUUAAUCGGAAUUACUGGGCGUAAAGCGAGCGUAGGUGGCUUAAUAAGUCAGAUGUGAAAUCCCCGGGCUUAACCUGGGAACUGCAUCUGAAACUGUUCGGCUAGAGUAGGUGAGAGGGAAGUAGAAUUCCAGGUGUAGCGGUGAAAUGCGUAGAGAUCUGGAGGAAUACCGAUGGCGAAGGCAGCUUCCUGGCAUCAUACUGACACUGAGGUUCGAAAGCGUGGGUAGCAAACAGGAUUAGAUACCCUGGUAGUCCACGCCGUAAACGAUGUCUACUAGUCGUUGGGUCCCUUGAGGACUUAGUGACGCAGCUAACGCAAUAAGUAGACCGCCUGGGGAGUACNGCCGCAAGGUUAAAACUCAAAUGAAUUGACGGGGGCCCGCACAAGCGGUGGANCAUGUGGUUUAAUUCGAUGCNACGCGAAGAANCUUACCUG